AAAGAACCCGUCGGCUCUAAUCACGAACUCCCCACUCCCCCAAGCGGUUGCGCCCACCUCGUCUCGCUCUCGCCCGCACCAGCACUGCCGUUCGUCUCCCCACGUCGCAAGCGCGGCGGCGCUCCACCACCCUCGUCGUCCCCCAUGCAGCGGCGCGGUGAAGGUGGCAACGUUUGGGUCAUGGACAGGAAGAUAAAGCACAAGCUGAGGGGCUUUUUGCUGUCUUUGCUGGAGGACACCCAUGAGCCAGAAGUCCUUACCCCAGCGAAGGCAGCAAAGGAAGCCGCAAAGCAGGAUCAGCUCGUAAACGCUGCUCGUGCAAGGGUUGCUGAGUUCAAGCCCCGUGCUUCUCUUGUGACUGCCCCAGCAUCAGGUGCCCCUCCACCUGCUCAGUUCUUCGCCCCACAGGAUUCCUCCCCUGCCGAUGCCCCCUCUGCCCCAGCACCAGGCGCAUAGGGCACUCCUUCAUCCUAGCAGUGACUUCUAUGAUGAUGUUGAGAACUUCAAGUGAGUACUCCUUAGAAAACUGAUGUGAUGUCUGUCAAAGUUGAUGCGAUCUUACCAAAACUGAUGGGAUGUGGUGGUGUUCACAUGAUAAAUUCCUGAAAACUGUUGUGAUGUUAACGAAGUGGCGUUUUGAGUGCGGUGAUUGUUGGUGUU